rnacentral:lncRNA from 1 species
GUGGCAAACACAGAAGGUUUUGUCUUAAAGCCAUAGCCACACUCACGAGGCACAGAUGGAAACUGCUUCCAAAGAGGAAGGUAUUGUGAAUGCUGACAUCGCCUCUUGGGCAGAAUUCUCUUACCUCACUGGAGAUGGGUUCAGUGAGCAGAUCCCUCUCCUGGAAACUGAGAGAGUUUCCGCAGGCAUCUUAAAGGAUCACAAGUUCCAUCUGUUGCGGUGUCUGGAUUUCAGACAGCUAACAUCAGGUAAACACAAGGAAGAAAAGUCAAAGAAUCCCCAGUGGGGAUAACAAGAAGAUACAGUUGCGGCUGAGUAAACAAAGGAGUGGAAGAGAGAAAAC